AGUGGGGAAUCUUGCGCAAUGGGCGGAAGCCUGACGCAGCAACGCCGCGUGAGGGAAGACGGCCUUCGGGUUGUAAACCUCUUUCAGGGGGGACGAAGCUUCCGGGGUUAAUAGCCCACGGGGUGACGGUACCCCCAGAAGAAGCCCCGGCUAACUACGUGCCAGCAGCCGCGGUAAUACGUAGGGGGCGAGCGUUGUCCGGAAUCAUUGGGCGUAAAGCGCGUGUAGGCGGCUUGGUAAGUCCGGUGUGAAACCUUGGGGCUCAACCCCAAGCCUGCACUGGAUACUGCCUCGCUUGAGUCCGGGAGGGGAGAGCGGAAUUCCUAGUGUAGCGGUGAAAUGCGCAGAUAUUAGGAAGAACACCGGUGGCGAAGGCGGCUCUCUGGAACGGUACUGACGCUGAGACGCGAAAGCGUGGGGAGCGAA
rnacentral:rRNA from 1 species